rnacentral:rRNA from 2 species
GCUCAUUAAAUCAGUUAUGAUCUACGUGACAAAUUCUUUACUACUUGGAUAACCGUGGUAAUUCUAGAGCUAAUACAUGCAAAAAAGCCCUGACUUACGAAGGGGUGCACUUAUUAGAUAAAACCAACGCGGGGUAAAACCUGUUUCUUGGUGAAUCAUAAUAAUUAAGCGGAUCGCAUGGCCUUGUGCCGGCGACGGUCCACUCGAUUUUCUGCCCUAUCAUGGUUGAGAUUGUAAGAUAGAGGCUUACAAUGCCUACAACGGGUAACGGGGAAUUAGGGUUCGAUUCCGGAGAGGGAGCCUGAGAAACGGCUACCACAUCCAAGGAAGGCAGCAGGCGCGCAAAUUACCCAAUCCCGACACGGGGAGGUAGUGACAAUACAUAACAAUGCAGGGCCUUUAAGGUCUUGCAAUUGGAAUGAGUACAAUUUAAAUCCCUUAACGAGGAUCAAUUGGAGGGCAAGUCUGGUGCCAGCAGCCGCGGUAAUUCCAGCUCCAAUAGCGUAUAUUAAAGUUGUUGCAGUUAAAACGUCCGUAGUCAAACUUUAGUCUUACCGGCGUAGUGGCCUGGUCUUCAUUGACCAAGCUCAUUGCUGCCGGAGACUCCACGUCCAUUGACUCCUAGUCCUCGUGGCUAGGGUUUUCUGGACAAUUACCAUGAGCAAAUCAGAGUGUUUAAAGCAGGCUUUUAAGCUUGAAUGUGUUAGCAUGGAAUAAUGAAAUAUGACUUUAGUCCUAUUUUCGUUGGUUUAGGUACUUCAGUAAUGAUGAAUAGAAACGGUUAGGGGCAUUUGUAUUUGGUCGCUAGAGGUGAAAUUCUUGGAUUGACCGAAGACAAACUACUGCGAAAGCAUUUGACCCGGGACGUUUUCAUUGAUCAAGGUCUAAAGUUAAGGGAUCGAAGACGAUUAGAUACCGUCGUAGUCUUAACCACAAACUAUGCCGACUAGAGAUUGGGCGUGUUUAUUAUGACUCGCUCAGCAUCUUAGCGAAAGUAAAGUUUUUGGGUUCUGGGGGGAGUAUGGGACGCAAGGCU